UACGGGGGGGGCAAGCGUUGUUCGGAAUUACUGGGCGUAAAGGGCUCGUAGGCGGCCAACUAAGUCGGACGUGAAAUCCCCAGGCUCAACCUGGGAACUGCGUCCGAUACUGGAUGGCUUGGAUUCGGGAGAGGAAUGCGGAAUUCCAGGUGUAGCGGUGAAAUGCGUAGAUAUCUGGAGGAACACCGGUGGCGAAGGCGGCAUUCUGGACCGAUAUUGACGCUGAGGAGCGAAAGCCAGGGGAGCAAACGGG
rnacentral:rRNA from 1 species